GAGGGUAGAGCUUGUAGUAGAGUGCUUGCCUAGCAUGCACGAGAUCCUGGGUUCAGUCCCCAGUACCUCCA
rnacentral:tRNA from 1 species